UGCCAGCAGCCGCGGUAAUACGGAGGGGGCUAACGUUAAUCGGAAUUACUGGGCGUAAAGCGUUCGCAGGCUGUUUUACAAGUCAGAUGUGAAAUCCCCGAGCUCAACUUGGGAACUGCGUUUGAAACUGUAAGACUAGAGUGUGUCAGAGGGGGGUAGAAUUCCACGUGUAGCAGUGAAAUGCGUAGAUAUGUGGAGGAAUACCAAUGGCGAAGGCAGCCCCCUGGGAUAACACUGACGCUCAUGAACGAAAGCGUGGGGAGCAAACAGGAUUAGAUA
rnacentral:rRNA from 1 species